UACGGAAGAUCCAAGCGUUAUCCGGAAUUACUGGGCGUAAAGAGUUGCGUAGGUGGCAGGUAAAGCGAACAGUGAAAGGCUACGGCUCAACCGUGGAUACAUUGUUCGAACUCACCAGCUAGAGCAUAAGAGAGGUACCUGGAAUUCCCAGUGUAGGAGUGAAAUCCGUAGAUAUUGGGAGGAACACCGAUGGCGUAGGCAGGGUACUGGCUUAUCGCUGACACUAAGGCACGAAAGCGUGGGGAGCGAACGGG
rnacentral:rRNA from 1 species